GGCUAGGACAAUGGCGGGCUAGUGAAUUGUGUCAGAUCCGGAAGGAAGCAGCACUAAGCAAGUGCCGCCAUGUGUCUGAUUGAAU
rfam:Mycobacterium abscessus strain PAP053 genome assembly, contig: ERS075544SCcontig000014